rnacentral:rRNA from 1 species
AAUCAACGCAGGCGGCGUGCCUAACACGUGCAAGUCGAACGAGAAAGCGGAGCAAUCCAUGAGUACAGUGGCGACCGGGUGAGUAACACGUGACUACCCGCCCUUGAGUGGGGGAUAACUUCGGGAAACCGAGGCUAAUACCGCAUAACAUCGCAAGAUCAAGGGAGCAAUCCGCUGAAGGAGGGGUCGCGCCUGAUGAG